CAUGCACGUCAUCACAGGUACCGCCUGUGGAUUUAGUUGGAUGCGCAUCAAUAACAGUGAUGACUAUUGAUCACAAAGUAAGAUCAAAGCUGCCUAACACACAGGUAUGAAAUGUAGACACGGUGUGCCCCUGUGGGUCAUGGAGGAAGUAGUCACUUCAUGUCGGCAAUACAUCGAGGUGAACAACAUCCAUAUGCAAGGACAAUGUUUCAGAAGGACCAGGACGUCACUCUGGCCGAGGAGCUCUUUUCGGUUUAACUCACGGAUUGUGAUAUGCGCACACGUCCAUUGAUUAUCUGAAAACAGGUGGUAUACAGUAACACACCUGUAGCGUGUGCAGAGGAGACAAGUGACACUACUUUAACCAUCAAGACACUUUCGACAUUCCACGGGACAAGGCGACCUUGUGUAAGUUCAAGAUGUCUAGGGAGCGGUUCGUGUUGCUCGUGCUGUUUGUGGUGGUUGCUGCGACCUUUAAUGUAGCUGCCGGUGAGUGUUCUUUGAUGUGCCCCAAAGGACAGCUGUGUGUCAUACGUCAGAAGCAGGAAAUAUGUGAUGCACUUUUGACGUUAGAGCCUACAGACCCCGUGAAAGCCUUCGGGAAUGGAGGUGGCGUACCAUUCACUGGAAAGUGACGUCAUGGCCCCUCUACAGUUACAGAAAUUAAAGGAUGAAGAAACAGGCUCCAAGAAGAUACACGUGCAACUCUGUGUGUGCUCUUUAUGUACAACGAAACCCUAAAUACACAUUAG